rnacentral:rRNA from 1 species
GACGAACGCUGGCGGCGGGCUUAACACAUGCAAGUCGAACGGAAAGGCCCUGCUGUUGUGGGGUUCUCGAGUGGCGAACGGGUGAGUAACAAGUGAGUAACCUGCCCUUGGCUUUGGGAUAACUUCAGGUAACUGGGGCUAAUACCGGAUAGUAGCUCCGGCAGAAUGGUGGGGGUGGGAAAGGUUCGGCGGUUGGGGAUGGACUCGCGGCUUAUCAGAUUGUUGGUGGGGUAGUGGCGUACCAAGGCGUUGACGGGUAGACGGCCUGAGAGGGUGACCGGCCACAUUGGGACUGCGAGACGGCGCAGACUCGUACGGGAGGCAGCAGUGGGGAGUCUUGCACAAUGGGCGGACGUCUGAUGCGGCAACGUUGCGUGUGGGAUGUCGGCUUUCGGGUUGUAAACCGCUUUCGCCUGUGACGAAGCGUGAGUGACGGUACUGGGUAAAGAAGCACCGGCUAACUACGUG